GACGAACGCUGGCGGCGUGCUUAAUACAUGCAAGUCGAACGGUAAGGCCCUUCGGGGUACACGAGUGGCGAACGGGUGAGUAACACGUGGGUGAUCUGCCCUGCACUUCGGGAUAAGCCUGGGAAACUGGGUCUAAUACCGGAUAGGACCCUGGGAUGCAUGUCCUGGGGUGGAAAGCUUUUGCGGUGUGGGAUGGGCCCGCGGCCUAUCAGCUUGUUGGUGGGGUGAUGGCCUACCAAGGCGACGACGGGUAGCCGGCCUGAGAGGGUGACCGGCCACACUGGGACUGAGAUACGCCCCAGACUCCUACGGGAGGCAGCAGUGGAGAAUAUUGCACAAUGGGCGCAAGCCUGAUGCAGCGACGCCGCGUGAGGGAUGACGGCCUUCGGGUUGUAAACCUCUUUCAGCACCGACGAAGCGCAAGUGACGGUAGGUGCAGAAGAAGGACCGGCCAACUACGUGCCAGCCGCCGCAGUAA
rnacentral:rRNA from 1 species